rnacentral:rRNA from 1 species
UACAGAGGUGGCAAGCGUUGUUCGGAAUACUGGGCGUAAAGGGCUCGUAGGCGGUUUGUCGCGUCGGGAGUGAAAACCCAGGGCUUAACCCUGGGCUGGCUUUCGAUACGGGCAGACUAGAGGUAGGCAGGGGAGAGCGGAACUCCUGGUGUAGCGGUGGAAUGCGCAGAGUAUCAGGAAGAACACCGGUGCGAAGGCGGCUCGUCGUGGGCCUUACCUGACGCUGAGGAGCGAAAGCGUGGGUAGCGAACAGG